GCGGGUGUGGCGGAAUGGCAGACGCGGUGGACUCAAAAUCCACUAAUGGCAACAUUGUGGGGGUUCAAGUCCCUUCACCCGCA
rnacentral:tRNA from 1 species